rnacentral:rRNA from 1 species
GGGGAAUUUUGGACAAUGGGCGAAAGCCUGAUCCAGCAAUGCCGCGUGAGUGAAGAAGGCCUUCGGGUUGUAAAGCUCUUUUGUCAGGGAAGAAACGGUGAGGGCUAAUAUCCUUCGCUAAUGACGGUACCUGAAGAAUAAGCACCGGCUAACUACGUGCCAGCAGCCGCGGUAAUACGUAGGGUGCAAGCGUUAAUCGGAAUUACUGGGCGUAAAGCGUGCGCAGGCGGUUUUGUAAGUCUGACGUGAAAUCCCCGGGCUCAACCUGGGAAUUGCGUUGGAGACUGCAAGGCUAGAAUCUGGCAGAGGGGGGUAGAAUUCCACGUGUAGCAGUGAAAUGCGUAGAGAUGUGGAGGAACACCGAUGGCGAAGGCAGCCCCCUGGGUCAAGAUUGACGCUCAUGCACGAAAGCGUGGGGAGCAAAC